rnacentral:rRNA from 1 species
GACGAACGCUGGCGGCGUGCUUAACACAUGCAAGUCGAACGGCAAGGCCCUGCUUUCGUGGGGUGCUCGAGUGGCGAACGCGUGCGUAACACGUGUGUAACCUGCCCUUGACUUUGGGAUAACUUCAGGAAACUGGGGCUAAUAUCGGAUAGGAGCUCCUGCUGCAUGGUGGGGGUUGGAAAGUCUCGGCGGUUGGGGAUGGAUGCGCGGCUUAUCAGCUUGUUGGUGGGGUAGUGGCUUACCCAGGCUUUGAAGGGUAGCCGGCCUGGGAGGGGGACCGGCCACAUUGGGACUGAGAUAGGGCCCAGACGCCUACGGGAGGCAGCAGUGGGGAAUAUUGCACAAUGGGCGGAAGCGUGAUGCAGCAACGCCGCGGGCGGGAUGACGGCCUUCGGGUUGUAAACCGCUUUCGCCUGUGACGAAGCGUGAGUGACGGUAAUGGAUAAAGAAGCACCGGCUAACUACGUG